AUUGAAGAAAAAGCGUGGGAUUUCAAGGGAUUAAGCUAAUAAAGGUGGUGAGCCCUCUAACAAGGCUAAAGAGAUUAUGCCCAAAGACUGAGAAUAGGAGUAUAUCGAACUCCUAGUACAUAGGGGGUUUCUGUGGACCAGCCUUUUAAAGGGG